CCCAGACUCCUACGGGAGGCAGCAGUGGGGGAUAUUGGACAAUGGGGGAAACCCUGAUCCAGCGACGCCGCGUGAGUGAAGAAGUAUUUCGGUAUGUAAAGCUCUGUCAGCAGGGAAGAAAGAAAUGACGAUACCUGACCAAGAAGCCCCGGCUAACUACGUGCCAGCAGCCGCGGUAAUACGUAGGGGGCAAGCGUUAUCCGGAAUUACUGGGUGUAAAGGGAGCGUAGACGGCGACGCAAGUCUGGAGUGAAAGCCCGGGGCCCAACCCCGGGACUGCUCUGGAAACUGCGUCGCUGGAGUACGGGGGGGGCAGGCGGAAUUCCUGGUGUAGCGGUGAAAUGCGUAGAUAUCAGGAGGAACACCGGCGGCGAAGGCGGCCUGCUGGACCGUGACUGACGUUGAGGCUCGAGAGCGUGGGGAGCAAACAGGAUUAGAUACCCCAGUA
rnacentral:rRNA from 1 species